rnacentral:rRNA from 1 species
UACGGAAGGGGCAAGCGUUGUUCGGAAUCAUUGGGCGUAAAGGGCGCGUAGGUGGUUCUGUAUGUCUAUCGUGAAAGCAUACAGCUCAACUGUAUUUGUCGGUAGAAACUGCAGGACUUGAGGCUGGGAGGGGCUGGUGGAAUUCCCUGUGUAGCGGUGAAAUGCGUAGAGAUGGGGAGAACACUCGUGGCGAAGGCGGCCAGCUAGACCAGUUCUGACACUGAGGCGCGACAGCGUGGGAGCAACAGG